rnacentral:rRNA from 1 species
GACAGAGGGUGCAAACGUUGUUCGGAAUUACUGGGCGUAAAGCGUGUGUAGGCGGCUUUGUAAGUCGGAUGUGAAAGCCCCGGGCUCAACCCGGGAAGUGCACUCGAUACUGCGAAGCUUGAGUACUGGAGAGGUUGGUGGAAUUCUCGGUGUAGAGGUGAAAUUCGUAGAUAUCGAGAGGAACACCGGUGGCGAAGGCGGCCAACUGGACAGAUACUGACGCUGAGACACGAAAGCGUGGGGAGCAAACAGG